rnacentral:rRNA from 1 species
UACGGAGGGAGCUAGCGUUGUUCGGAAUUACUGGGCGUAAAGCGCGCGUAGGCGGCUUUGUAAGUUAGAGGUGAAAGCCCGGGGCUCAACCCCGGAACUGCCUUUAAGACUGCAUCGCUUGAAUCCAGGAGAGGUGAGUGGAAUUCCGAGUGUAGAGGUGAAAUUCGUAGAUAUUCGGAAGAACACCAGUGGCGAAGGCGGCUCACGUCGGAGCU